rnacentral:lncRNA from 1 species
CGGUCACGUGAUGCAGUCUGGAGGCCUAGAUCCACCCCAACACUGAACGACCUCCCCGCGUCAACAGCUGGGGGCUGAAGCGAGUCGAGGCGUAACAGAGGAAGCUAGUCGUGAAAGAACUUGGCGUUAUUGUAAAACCAAUCCAGGAUGAGUGGAAGCAGUGGCUAUACCGUUCUGUCGGGGAUAUUGUCCGCCACGUUUGUGGCGGCAGGAGCUAUUAAACUCUCCCCUGUCCCUGCGAGUCUACACAACGGAAUGAUUGCCGAAUUCAGAGAAUACGCUACAAAGUUCCCGGGAAAUGUCAUUGGCUGCCCGAUCAACCCACUGACGUACAUGUAUGCUGCUGGGUUGCUGGAUUUCAGCCUCGGUAUGGGCUUGCUGUUGGGAUCACGAAAGGUCAAGGUCGUCUGUUCAAUUGGCGUAAUGGCGGACAUGGCAUUGUUCAUACCGACAGAAAUAAGCCUUGGAAUGUACGGGAAAAGUCUGGUUCCCAUAGCAACACUGAUCAUGUCCUUUUGCCUCUAUAGACAUUUGACAGACAAAAUAAAAAUAACAUAAAAAUA